rnacentral:tRNA from 1 species
GCUCCCGUAGCUCAGAUGGAUAGAGCAUCGGUUUCCUAAACCGGUGGUCGCAGGUUCAAGUCCUGCCGGGAGCGCCA